GGGUUGUGAGGUUAAGCGACUAAGCGUACACGGUGGAUGCCCUGGCAGUCAGAGGCGAUGAAGGACGUGCUAAUCUGCGAUAAGCGUCGGUAAGGUGAUAUGAACCGUUAUAACCGGCGAUUUCCGAAUGGGGAAACCCAGUGUGAUUCGUCACACUAUCAUUAACUGAAUCCAUAGGUUAAUGAGGCGAACCGGGGGAACUGAAACAUCUAAGUACCCCGAGGAAAAGAAAUCAACCGAGAUUCCCCCAGUAGCGGCGAGCGAACGGGGAGCAGCCCAGAGCCUGAAUCAGUGUGUGUGUUAGUGGAAGCGUCUGGAAAGGCGCGCGAUACAGGGUGACAGCCCCGUACACAAAAAUGCACAUGCUGUGAGCUCGAUGAGUAGGGCGGGACACGUGGUAUCCUGUCUGAAUAUGGGGGGACCAUCCUCCAAGGCUAAAUACUCCUGACUGACCGAUAGUGAACCAGUACCGUGAGGGAAAGGCGAAAAGAACCCCGGCGAGGGGAGUGAAAAAGAACCUGAAACCGUGUACGUACAAGCAGUGGGAGCACAGAGCAAUCUGUGUGACUGCGUACCUUUUGUAUAAUGGGUCAGCGACUUAUAUUCUGUAGCAAGGUUAACCGAAUAGGGGAGCCGAAGGGAAACCGAGUCUUAACUGGGCGUUAAGUUGCAGGGUAUAGACCCGAAACCCGGUGAUCUAGCCAUGGGCAGGUUGAAGGUUGGGUAACACUAACUGGAGGACCGAACCGACUAAUGUUGAAAAAUUAGCGGAUGACUUGUGGCUGGGGGUGAAAGGCCAAUCAAACCGGGAGAUAGCUGGUUCUCCCCGAAAGCUAUUUAGGUAGCGCCUCGUGAAUUCAUCUCCGGGGGUAGAGCACUGUUUCGGCAAGGGGGUCAUCCCGACUUACCAACCCGAUGCAAACUGCGAAUACCGGAGAAUGUUAUCACGGGAGACACACGGCGGGUGCUAACGUCCGUCGUGAAGAGGGAAACAACCCAGACCGCCAGCUAAGGUCCCAAAGUCAUGGUUAAGUGGGAAACGAUGUGGGAAGGCCCAGACAGCCAGGAUGUUGGCUUAGAAGCAGCCAUCAUUUAAAGAAAGCGUAAUAGCUCACUGGUCGAGUCGGCCUGCGCGGAAGAUGUAACGGGGCUAAACCAUGCACCGAAGCUGCGGCAGCGACGCUUAUGCGUUGUUGGGUAGGGGAGCGUUCUGUAAGCCUGUGAAGGUGUACUGUGAGGUAUGCUGGAGGUAUCAGAAGUGCGAAUGCUGACAUAAGUAACGAUAAAGCGGGUGAAAAGCCCGCUCGCCGGAAGACCAAGGGUUCCUGUCCAACGUUAAUCGGGGCAGGGUGAGUCGACCCCUAAGGCGAGGCCGAAAGGCGUAGUCGAUGGGAAACAGGUUAAUAUUCCUGUACUUGGUGUUACUGCGAAGGGGGGACGGAGAAGGCUAUGUUGGCCGGGCGACGGUUGUCCCGGUUUAAGCGUGUAGGCUGGUUUUCCAGGCAAAUCCGGAAAAUCAAGGCUGAGGCGUGAUGACGAGGCACUACGGUGCUGAAGCAACAAAUGCCCUGCUUCCAGGAAAAGCCUCUAAGCAUCAGGUAACAUCAAAUCGUACCCCAAACCGACACAGGUGGUCAGGUAGAGAAUACCAAGGCGCUUGAGAGAACUCGGGUGAAGGAACUAGGCAAAAUGGUGCCGUAACUUCGGGAGAAGGCACGCUGAUAUGUAGGUGAAGUCCCUCGCGGAUGGAGCUGAAAUCAGUCGAAGAUACCAGCUGGCUGCAACUGUUUAUUAAAAACACAGCACUGUGCAAACACGAAAGUGGACGUAUACGGUGUGACGCCUGCCCGGUGCCGGAAGGUUAAUUGAUGGGGUCAGCGCAAGCGAAGCUCUUGAUCGAAGCCCCGGUAAACGGCGGCCGUAACUAUAACGGUCCUAAGGUAGCGAAAUUCCUUGUCGGGUAAGUUCCGACCUGCACGAAUGGCGUAAUGAUGGCCAGGCUGUCUCCACCCGAGACUCAGUGAAAUUGAACUCGCUGUGAAGAUGCAGUGUACCCGCGGCAAGACGGAAAGACCCCGUGAACCUUUACUAUAGCUUGACACUGAACAUUGAGCCUUGAUG
rnacentral:rRNA from 1 species